rnacentral:rRNA from 1 species
GAGUUUGAUCAUGGCUCAGGACGAACACUGGCAGCAUGCCUAAUACAUGCAAGUCAAGCGAACCGACGGGAGCUUGCUCCCUUAGGUCAGCGGCGGACAGGUGAGUAACACGUGGGUAACCUGCCUGUAAGACUGGGAUAACUCCAGGAAACCGGGGCUAAUACCGGAUGCUUAAUUGAACCGCAUGGUUCAAUCAUAAAAGGUGGCUUUUAGCUACCACUUACAGAUGGACCCGCAGCACAUUAGCUAGUUGGUGAGGUAACAGCUCACCAAGGCGACGAUGCGUAGCCGACCUGAGAGGGUAAUCAGCCACACUGGGACUGAGACACGGCCCAGACUCCUACGGGAGGCAGCAGUAGGGAAUCUUCCGCAAUGGACAAAAGUCUGACGGAGCAACACCGCGUGAGUGAUGAAGGUUUUCGGAUCGUAAAACUCUGUUGUUAGGGAAGAACAAGUACCGUUCAAAUAGGGCGGUACCUUGACGGUACCUAACCAGAAAGCCACAGCUAACUACGUGCCAACAGCCGCAGUAAUACGUAGGUGGCAAGCGUUGUCCGGAAUUAUUGGGCGUAAAGCGCACGCAGGCGGUUUCUUAAGUCUGAUGUGAAAGCCCCCAGCUCAACCGGGGAGGGUCAUUGGAAACUGGGGAACUUGAGUGCAGAAGAGGAGAGUGGAAUUCCACGUGUAGCGGUGAAAUGCAUAGAGAUGUGGAGGAACACCAGUGGCGAAGGCGACUCUCUGGUCUGCAACUGACGCUGAGGCGCGAAAGCGUGGGGAGCGAACAGGAUUAGAUACCCUAGUAGUCCACACCGUAAACGAUGAGUACUAAGUGUUAGAGGGUUUCCGCCCUUUAGUGCUGCAGCAAACGCAUUAAGCACUCCGCCUGAGGAGUACAGUCGCAAGACUGAAACUCAAAGGAAUUAACGGGGACCCGCACAAGCAGUAGAACAUGUAAUUUAAUUCGAAGCAACGCAAAGAACCUUACCAGGUCUUGACAUCCUCUGACAACCCUAGAGAUAGGGCUUCCCCUUCGGAGGCAAAGUGACAGGUGGUGCAUGGUUGUCAUCA